GAAAUGCGAUAAGUAAUGUGAAUUGCAGAAUUCAGUGAAUCAUCGAAUCUUUGAACGCACAUUGCGCCCAUUAGUAUUCUAAUGGGCAUGCCUGUUCGAGCGUCAUUUCAACCCUCGAGCCUUAGUUGCUUGGUGUUGGGAGCUUAUCCUGCCGCAAGGCGGGACAACUCCUUAAAUUUAUUGGCGGAGUCGCGGUGACCCCAAGCGCAGUAAUUCCUUUUCUCGCUUUAGGUGUUAACGCUGGCUUCUAGCCAUUAAACCCCCUAAUUUUCUAAUGGUUGACCUCGGAUCAGGUAGGACUACCCGCUGAACUUAAGC
rnacentral:misc_RNA from 1 species